AUUGAACGCUGGCGGCAGGCUUAACCCAUGCAAGUCGAGCGGGGGAAGGUAGCUUGCUACCGGACCUAGCGGCGGACGGGUGAGUAAUGCUUAGGAAUCUGCCUAUUAGUGGGGGAUAACAUCUCGAAAGGGAUGCUAAUACCGCAUACGUCCUACGGGAGAAAGCAGGGGAUCUUCGGACCUUGCGCUAAUAGAUGAGCCUAAGUCGGAUUAGCUAGUUGGUGGGGUAAAGGCCUACCAAGGCGCCGAUCUGUAGCGGGUCUGAGAGGAUGAGCCGCCACGCUGGGAAUGAGAAACGGCCCAGACUCCUACGGGAGGCAGCAGUGGGGAAUAUUGGACAAUGGGUGGAACCCUGAUCCAGCCAGGCCGCGUGUGUGAAGAAGGCCUUAUGGUUGUAAAGGACUUUAAGCGAGGAGGAGCCUACUCUAGUUAAUACCUAGGGAUAGUGGACGUUACUCGCAGAAUAAGCACCGGCUAACUCUGUGCCAGCAGCCGCCGUAA
rnacentral:rRNA from 1 species